GAUGAACGCUGGCGGCGUGCCUAAUACAUGCAAGUCGAGCGAACGGACGAGAAGCUUGCUUCUCUGAUGUUAGCGGCGGACGGGUGAGUAACACGUGGAUAACCUACCUAUAAGACUGGGAUACCUUCGGGAAACCGUAGCUAAUACCGGAUAAUAUUUUGAACCGCAUGGUUCAAAAGUGAAAGACGGUCUUGCUGUCACUUAUAGAUGGAUCCGCGCUGCAUUAGCUAGUUGGUAAGGUAACGGCUUACCAAGGCAACGAUGCAUAGCCGACCUGAGAGGGUGAUCGGCCACACUGGAACUGAGACACGGUCCAGACUCCUACGGGAGGCAGCAGUAGGGAAUCUUCCGCAAUGGGCGAAAGCCUGACGGAGCAACGCCGCGUGAGUGAUGAAGGUCUUCGGAUCGUAAAACUCUGUUAUUAGGGAAGAACAUAUGUGUAAGUAACUGUGCACAUCGUGACGGUACCUAAUCAGAAAGCCACGGCUAACUACGUG
rnacentral:rRNA from 1 species